CGUCAUACUAUAUUACAAGAGUUUUGCAUUUUUGACUUUUCUAGAUUUUUUUUGUUUUUGUUUUGUUUUGAACUACUCCUAACUUAGUAAUUGACUAUUACUUAUUUAAUUGUACUUGCUGUACAGUGAGCGAUUUCUACUCUCCUACUUCUUCUCUGUUCACUUUUGUGAAUAUGCCCCCAGACUGAUAUUUUUGGAGGGACUGAAAGGGAAAGAUUAAUCCCUUAGUAUUCUGCGCUUGAAAAAUACCGUGCGUCUUUUUGUCAGGAAGAAUGCUUUCAAACCCUUCCUUCGUCUAAGCUACCGUGCUUGACAUCUCAUUAUUCAUUAUUUGACUCAGCUGUUUCAGUUUCACCUUCACCCAGCUAAUUAAGUAACUCAUUGAAUGUAUUAUUCAGUAUUUGAUUCCCCUAUCUGAGUCAGUGGGAGAUGGAAGCUGGAAAAAAAAAAGCCCCUUGAUGGGAUUAGAGAAAGGAUUGUUGCUCUGAUAUAGGGGACUGGCAUGAGAAUGAGCUAAUGAAGUUGGCAAUACAUGAAUCGCAUUCUGUCACUUCAGCAAGUGUUUGGAUGCUGGUGAAAAAGACUGAAGUUCUCCAGUGUGUGAAUUGAAUUAAGUAAGGUAAGGAUUUGAAUCUCUUUCUUUAACUUCCUUUUUUUUUUUUUUUUUUUUUUUUAAGAUUUUCUGUUCAUUGUUCUGAGGUAAAUUGUGGCCUCGCUCCCCUUCUCUAAGGGUUGGGUUAUCUUUGUAGCUUUGAUAAGAAAUUCCUUUUGGGCUCUGAGAAGACAAUUGUGAAUCUCACUGAAUCUCACUGAAAACAUAACAUAAAGUCAUUCUGUUUGAGAACUGGUUAUCUUCUACCAAAAAAUCAUUGGAAAAGUCACAAUCAAGUCUUGCCUAGGACAUUGUCUCUAGAAUAGUUCUUCAAUAUAUAUAUUCAAAUGAAAUAGUUCAGGUAAAGCACAGUUCAAGAACAGUCCCUAGCAAAUUCUUAUCUCUGACUUUGAAUGAUUAAUGUUCUCUCUACAGAAAAAUAAAACUGAUAAAGUUUUGUACUGAGUGUGAAGU
rnacentral:lncRNA from 1 species